GUCACACAUAGGACUAGGAUUCCAAGCCAAUGGCUGAGAGAAAAUUAGCAAAAGGCAUGCUUUGAGUGAAUGACAAUACCCAAGACCACUGGCCAAGACCAGAAGGCCUAGAGACCAUUAUGUGAUGCAGCACCAGAGGCUGGCCAGAUGUUGGCUCUACGCUCCAGAUUUUCCAGUCCCCAAAUCCUGAGCUAAACAAACCUCUACUCUUUACAGAUCACCCAGUCUCAGGUCUCAAAGAAUUCAGAGUGUGAGAUGAAAAAUUGAAGACCCACUUCACAGAACUGCAGGGAAACUGGGGUUACCUGGGGUGAUGAGCACAGAAAUAUGCUUCCAGAUCCCUUUCCAAGGAAAGACUUGUUGCCCUGCCCAUGGAGGUACUCCAGAAGAGCCCAAAGGCAUGGAAGUUUUCCUUUCUAGGAACUUUGCUGGGGACUGGAAUAAGAGAACCUGGCAACUGGCCUUGGAAUGGAAAGAGAAUUCAUCCAAAGUUUCACAGUGCCUAGAAGAAAAAGGUUUGCUAAAGAUAGAAGCCAUCACUAAACAUUA